UAAACAUUGAUAUUUAUUACACCCACUAUCCGCCCGGGUACUACGAGCAUGAGCUUAAAACCCAAAGGACUUGGCGGUGCUUAAGAUCCCCCUAGAGGAGCCUGUUCUAGAACCGAUAAUCCCCGUUUAACCUCACCCUCUUUUGUUUUUUCCGCCUAUAUACCGCCGUCGUCAGCUUACCCCAUGAGGGAUUAAUAGUGAGCAAAAAUGGCACAGCCUAAAACGUCAGGUCGAGGUGUAGCAUAUAAGAGGGGAAGAAAUGGGCUACAUUCUCUAAGAUAGAGAACACGGAUAAUAUAUUGAAAUGUAUAUUUUAAGGAGGAUUUAGUAGUAAGUAAAAAUCAGAAUGUUUCACUGAACUAGGCCCUAAAGCGUGC
rnacentral:rRNA from 1 species